AGAGUUUGAUCCUGGCUCAGGAUGAACGCUAGCUACAGGCUUAACACAUGCAAGUCGAGGGGCAGCAUGGUCUUAGCUUGCUAAGGCCGAUGGCGACCGGCGCACGGGUGAGUAACACGUAUCCAACCUGCCGUCUACUCUUGGACAGCCUUCUGAAAGGAAGAUUAAUACAAGAUGGCAUCAUGAGUCCGCAUGUUCACAUGAUUAAAGGUAUUCCGGUAGACGAUGGGGAUGCGUUCCAUUAGAUAGUAGGCGGGGUAACGGCCCACCUAGUCUUCGAUGGAUAGGGGUUCUGAGAGGAAGGUCCCCCACAUUGGAACUGAGACACGGUCCAAACUCCUACGGGAGGCAGCAGUGAGGAAUAUUGGUCAAUGGACGAGAGUCUGAACCAGCCAAGUAGCGUGAAGGAUGACUGCCCUAUGGGUUGUAAACUUCUUUUAUACGGGAAUAAAGUGAGGCACGUGUGCCUUUUUGUAUGUACCGUAUGAAUAAGGAUCGGCUAACUCCGUGCCAGCAGCCGCGGUAAUACGGAGGAUCCGAGCGUUAUCCGGAUUUAUUGGGUUUAAAGGGAGCGUAGGCGGACGCUUAAGUCAGUUGUGAAAGUUUGCGGCUCAACCGUAAAAUUGCAGUUGAUACUGGGUGUCUUGAGUACAGUAGAGGCAGGCGGAAUUCGUGGUGUAGCGGUGAAAUGCUUAGAUAUCACGAAGAACUCCGAUUGCGAAGGCAGCCUGCUGGACUGUAACUGACGCUGAUGCUCGAAAGUGUGGGUAUCAAACAGGAUUAGAUACCCUGGUAGUCCACACAGUAAACGAUGAAUACUCGCUGUUUGCGAUAUACAGUAAGCGGCCAAGCGAAAGCGUUAAGUAUUCCACCUGGGGAGUACGCCGGCAACGGUGAAACUCAAAGGAAUUGACGGGGGCCCGCACAAGCGGAGGAACAUGUGGUUUAA
rnacentral:rRNA from 1 species